rnacentral:rRNA from 1 species
CACAUGCAAGUCGAGCGGAAACGAGUUAUCUGAACCUUCGGGGAACGAUAACGGCGUCGAGCGGCGGACGGGUGAGUAAUGCCUAGGAAAUUGCCCUGAUGUGGGGGAUAACCAUUGGAAACGAUGGCUAAUACCGCAUGAUGCCUACGGGCCAAAGAGGGGGACCUUCGGGCCUCUCGCGUCAGGAUAUGCCUAGGUGGGAUUAGCUAGUUGGUGAGGUAAGGGCUCACCAAGGCGACGAUCCCUAGCUGGUCUGAGAGGAUGAUCAGCCACACUGGAACUGAGACACGGUCCAGACUCCUACGGGAGGCAGCAGUGGGGAAUAUUGCACAAUGGGCGCAAGCCUGAUGCAGCCAUGCCGCGUGUAUGAAGAAGGCCUUCGGGUUGUAAAGUACUUUCAGUCGUGAGGAAGGUGGCGUCGUUAAUAGCGGCGUUGUUUGACGUUAGCGACAGAAGAAGCACCGGCUAACUCCGUGCCAGCAGCCGCGGUAAUACGGAGGGUGCGAGCGUUAAUCGGAAUUACUGGGCGUAAAGCGCAUGCAGGUGGUUUGUUAAGUCAGAUGUGAAAGCCCGGGGCUCAACCUCGGAAUAGCAUUUGAAACUGGCAGACUAGAGUACUGUAGAGGGGGGUAGAAUUUCAGGUGUAGCGGUGAAAUGCGUAGAGAUCUGAAGGAAUACCGGUGGCGAAGGCGGCCCCCUGGACAGAUACUGACACUCAGAUGCGA